rnacentral:rRNA from 1 species
GUGGGGAAUCUUGCGCAAUGGGGGAAACCCUGACGCAGCGACGCCGCGUGGGUGAUGAAGGCCUUCGGGUCGUAAAGCCCUGUCAGGUGGGAAGAAUCGUUUCGGUGCUAAUAUCACCGAUACUUGACGGUACCACCGGAGGAAGCACCGGCUAACUCCGUGCCAGCAGCCGCGGUAAUACGGAGGGUGCAAGCGUUGUUCGGAAUUACUGGGCGUAAAGCGCGUGUAGGCGGGUGGGUAAGUCAGAUGUGAAAGCCUUCCGCUUAACGGAAGAAGGGCAUUUGAAACUGCCUGUCUGGAGUACGGGAGAGGAGAGUGGAAUUCCCGGUGUAGAGGUGAAAUUCGUAGAUAUCGGGAGGAACACCAGUGGCGAAGGCGGCUCUCUGGCCCGAUACUGACGCUGAUACGCGAAAGCGUGGGGAGCAAACAGGAUUAGAAACCCCAGUAGUCC